UACGGAGGGGGCGAGCGUUAUUCGGAAUUAUUGGGCGUAAAGGGCGCGUAGGCGGCUGUACAAGUCAAAGGUGAAAUCCCUCGGCUCAACUGAGGAACUGCCUUUGAAACUGUACGGCUUGAGUCCGGGAGGGGGUAGCGGAAUUCCCAAUGUAGCGGUGAAAUGCGUAGAUAUUGGGAGGAACACCAGUGGCGAAGGCGGCUACCUGGACCGGUACUGACGCUGAGGCGCGAAAGCGUGGGUAGCAAACAGG
rnacentral:rRNA from 1 species